GAUGAAGAACGUAGCAAAAUGCGAUAAGUAAUGUGAAUUGCAGAAUUCAGUGAAUCAUCGAAUCUUUGAACGCACAUUGCGCCCGCUGGUGUUCCGGCGGGCAUGCCUGUUCGAGCGUCAUUUCAACCCUCAAGCCCCCGGGUUUGGUGUUGGGGAUCGGCUCUGCCCUUCUGGGCGGUGCCGCCCCCGAAAUACAUUGGCGGUCUCGCUGCAGCCUCCAUUGCGUAGUAGCUAACACCUCGCAACUGGAACGCGGCGCGGCCAUGCCGUAAAACCCCAACUUCUGAAUGUUGACCUCGGAUCAGGUAGGAAUACCCGCUGAACUUAAGCAUAUCAAUAAGCGGAGGA
rnacentral:misc_RNA from 1 species